rnacentral:lncRNA from 1 species
ACAUUUUAAGAAAAGUAUUCGAUCACGUAUUAAAACACAAUUAAGGCACAUGUGUAACAAGUAGUCGUGAUCAUGCAUCAUGAAUAAUGAAUUAUAACUACAUGCAUUGAUGCAAUAUGCUUAUUAUUGGCCAUGUAUGGAUGAUUGGGCAUUACAAUCCUUCCCUCCUUAUAAAAUUUCGCCCUCGAAAUUUGACGUACCGAACAAUUCUGGAUAUUUGCUAUGCAUUUCUUCCUCUCUUUCCCACGUGGCUUCUUCAAUAGAUUGAUUUCUCCACAAUACCUUAACUAAUGGAAUCUUUUUAUUUCUCAGCUCCUUGACUUUUUGAUCAAUAAUUUGAAUUGGUUUCUC